UUUUGGAGUGGAUGGAGAUGGCAUAAAAACAUCUUAGUAUAUACCUGCAGAUGGCUUUCUAGGAAAAAAAAACAAACAAAACAAACGUGUUAGUAUGUACUCACUUUGUUACAGAAUCUCAAGUAACAAUUUUACUGGUGUUCUUGAAAAGCAAAUUGUAUCUUUGCUUUAUUCCCCUGAAUUGUUACAACUAUAUCUUGAAGUAACAUUUUAAAAGAGCUCUUUUAAAAAUAGGCUUUAAACCUGGCCAGCGGAAAGUUUUAUUUACCUGUUUCAAGAGGAAUGAUAAACGUGAAGUAAAAGUUGCCCAGUUGGCUGGCUCUGUUGCUGAGAUGUCGGCUUAUCAUCAUGGAGAACAAGCAUUGAUGAUGACUAUUGUGAAUUUGGCUCAGAACUUUGUGGGAAGUAACAACAUUAACUUGCUUCAGCCUAUUGGUCAGUUUGGAACUC
rnacentral:sRNA from 1 species